rnacentral:rRNA from 1 species
GUCUGGCCUGCUCACUGAUUAUUUUAAAGAGCCGCGGUAUUUUGACCGUGCAAAGGUAGCAUAAUCAUUAGUCUCUUAAUUAGAGGCUGGAAUGAAUGGCUUGACGAGAAAUCAACUGUCUCUUAAUAAAUUUUAGAAUUUAACUUUUGAGUCAAAAGGCUUAAAUUUUUCUUUAGGACGAGAAGACCCUAUAGAGCUUGACAUUUUAUUUAUAUAUAAUUUUAAGAUGUUCUUUUUAUAUUUAAUGAUAAUGUUUUGUUGGGGUGACAUGAAGAAUUAAUAAACUCUUCAUUAUUAAAUCAUUAAUUUAUGUUUAUUUUGAUCCAUAAUUUAUGAUCAAAAGAUUAAGUUACCUUAGGGAUAACAGCGUAAUUGUUUUUGAGAGCUCAUAUCGACAAAGCAGAUUGCGACCUCGAUGUUGGAUUAAGAAAAGUUUUGGGUGCAGUAGCCCAGUAAUUAGGUCUGUUCGACCUUUAAAUUCUUACG